UACGUAGGGUCCGAGCGUUGUCCGGAAUUACUGGGCGUAAAGAGCUCGUAGGUGGUUUGUCACGUUGUUCGUGAAAACCCACAGCUCAACUGCGGGCGUGCGAGCGAUACGGGCAGACUAGAGUACUGCAGGGGAGACUGGAAUUCCUGGUGUAGCGGUGGAAUGCGCAGAUAUCAGGAGGAACACCGGUGGCGAAGGCGGGUCUCUGGGCAGUAACUGACGCUGAGGAGCGAAAGCGUGGGGAGCGAACAGG
rnacentral:rRNA from 1 species